ACACGUAGGGGCCUGACGUUGUUCGGAAUCAUUGGGCGUAAAGGGCGCGCAGGCGGCCGUCCAAGUCCGGUGUUAAAUGGUCGGGCUCAACCCGAUCAUGCGCUGGAAACUGGGCGGCUUGAGUCCCGUAGGGGAUGCCGGAAUUCCAGGUGUAGGGGUGAAAUCUGUAGAUAUCUGGAAGAACACCGAUGGCGAAGGCAGGCAUCUGGCCGGAGACUGACGCUGAGGCGCGAAGGCGCGGGGAGCGAACAGGUUUAGAUACCCUGGUAGUCCGCACAGUAAACGAUGGGCACCAGGUGGCGGGGGGUCGACCCCCGGUACCGUAGCUAACGCAUUAAGUGCACCGCCUGGGGAGUAUGCUCGCAAGGGUGAAACUCAAAGGAAUUGACGGGG
rnacentral:rRNA from 1 species